GAUGUGACUCACUCUCAUUAGGUAGCGUGGAAGGAGCCUUCGGAUGGGUGAGCCUGGACGUGUCUGAGGAAGGGCAGGCGGGGGCCGGGCCACCUCCCUGCAGACCCUGGCCGGCUGCUGGGGCCCGGGAGGAGAGCCAGAGCUGAGGAACUGCGUGUGGAGUCAGCCCAGUCUGGAUGCACAGGAGGAUGCCGGCGGCACAGUGAGUGAGGCCUGGUGCCAGAGCUGUGCGGAUCCCUCAUUGGCCAUGAAGCAGCAGGCCCAGAGGCCCUCUCCCCAGCCCUGCUUGCCUGCCUCGGAGAGGACAGAGGCCUAGGCCCACGGGGGAGGGUA
rnacentral:sRNA from 1 species